AGGUGUGGAGCUCCGAGUCGGGCAGGGGGUGAGGCGUCGUGGGGGUCCCUGCCCGAAGGCCUGGUUCCCUGAGGCGGGCAGGACGGUAGCCGGGCGGGCCCUGGAGGUGGAGGGGUCCUUAGCAGCCAAAACCUAAGUCGAUUUGGGUGACCAGUGGGAAAAGUCCUUUUUGGGUGACCAGUGGCCUGGUUCUCUGGAGGCGCGGGUUGUCUGGGACACUAACCUGGGCUUAAUAGCACGGUGCCUGGGUUCGUCUGGUGAACCGGUAGGGGUAUUCCUCUGGAGAUGUGGGGGUAUAUCUCUGUAAGGAAGCCGAGUUGGGGCUCCAUACGAGAGGUGUAUGGGGGUCUCCUCGGGCCCCCUCUAUGCCCGGCGUCUGGAACUCCAAGUCAGCUUGGUUCCGGAGUUAGAGCCGGACAAUGGUCCAACUUCCAGGGGGUAUAUCUCUGGAAUAACAAUUAAUUGAUUGUUAAUUUAACCGACGGGAGAGCUGCAUUCAAAAUUCAUUUGGCUCAAAAAUCUUUGAAUGGGUACGACUCUGUCUGUAGGAGCUACUAAAUAAUGCAUUGUGCAUAAUAUUAUAUACCUUGACACUUGUGUAGUUUGAAGAGUCAAACUUUCCAGUGCCAUUUGGCCUUAUGUUUGCCUUAAGGUGGGUGAGCUCCACCUGGUCUCCGACAUAAAACACCACCAACGCUUCAUCUCUCCAUAAUGAGACCUCAUUAAGUUUGGAUCCACACCUCAGACUAAGGUCCAGGAUAGGAACCUGGGCCCGAGUCAUCCUGUCCACUUGCACCUGAAAAAUAACAGCCCAGUGUCACAGAAGAAGGACAAUACCAGAGUGUUUUUCAGUCCUGGUCCAGGAACCCCCAACACUGAAUAUUUUCAGUGUAUUCCUUAUAUUGUAUUCCCACUCAAGGUUAAUUCAAGGUGUUACAGGACUCAAGGACCAUGACUGAGAAACACAAGUACAAUAGCUUACAGUUGCCUAGGGGUAAGUAAUCAGAAUAAUGUACAAGAUAUUUAUUUGUGCUCUUAAAUUCACUCACUUUUUCAAUCUUUCCCUCCAGACUAAGAUGACCGGUGUUUGAGAAAAUGUCUUCACCAGUCAUGCAUUGGGAAGGGGGUAGAGGGCCUCCUUAGCAGCUCUUUCUGCUGACUCCGCUACAGCCAAUGGAGCUGUUCUGAAUGUUCUUGUUGCACAAGUGACAAACAAGCACAGCUGCCCAUAUUUUCUGGAGAGGGUGUAGUUCUUGACUACGUAUGACCCACCCUCUUCAAAUUCUGGGUCGCUACCAUUUUUUAUUGAUAUAUAUACGUUCUCUCCAUCAGUGAGUGCACAUAUUGUGGUCGUCUGUAUGUGCCUAUGUCUAUUUUAUUUUGAUGUAACACAAAAGUCAAAGCUCUUUGGCUUUUGCAGGUUGCAACACAAUUCUAAGUGGUGUUUGACGACUAUAGGGGGUUGCCAUCCUAAGAGAAAUGCAAAAAAAAAAAAAAAAGGGAAAAAGUUAGUUUAAAAUAAAUAAAAAAAACAAAAACAAAACAAAAUGUGCUCUCAAUCACUAUUGUAAACUGUCCUUUCAGAGACUGUCCAACUAUGUCAUUAAGUAAUUUCUGUCACAUCUUCAUAUUUGAAAAGUCAUUCAAAACAUAACUAUCAUAACAGUAACUAUGUUUUUUUUUUUUUUGUUGUUGUUGUUUUUCUGAGGUAAAUCUUUGUCACAAGAAAUUUUAAUCUACAGCUUUCAAUUAAUAAAUUAAUUACAUUAAUAAAUUUCUUGUGAAGUAAAAAAUUUACCUCAGAAAAUGAACUUUCCUGUCAGGAAGUGGAAAAAGGGCAGCCUGGCAGGAUUUCUCUCCUUUUUUUACUUUAUAUUUCACAGGAAGUUAUUUGUUUAUUCAUGUAGUUGAUUUAUUUAUUGAAAGUCAUUGAUAAAAUUUCAUAUGAAGUAAAGUUUUACCUCAGAAAAUGAACGUGAGAAUCAUGGCAGCUGUUUCUGGGAUAUGUUUUCAUAUUUUUUCAUUCCUGUGUAAUUACUCCUGGUGUCAAAGAUUAGGCAUAAAGUGAUAGUUCACCCAAUGUAUUUCUGUCAUUAAUUACUCACUCUCAUGUCCUGAAAAUAGGCUAACUACCUGCAACUCUGUAACUACACAAACUUAGUGUCGGUCACGUUGGACGUUAUCUAGCUGGGGACUAUUUUCAGGCGCUGCGUAAUAUCAUUGUGCCUGCUGCAGCCAUGGUACGGCAGCAAAGCUCCUUGAUCAUUACGCUGGAAUGAGAGUAUAGUUCCUAGCCAUAUCGGCCUAGAAACAAGCACCUUUACAUUUAAGACAUCACGACAAGGACAAGGUUUAUGUACCUUCUGGCUGGUAAACAGGGCGCCUCUGUGAUGAAGAAGAGGGCUGGGUGUCUGUUCAGAUCGAAGUUAAGCAGUUAUUUGUCUCAUACAAACAUUGAAAGGACUGCCACAUUGCAGUGCUUCACUGUAUAGAAAGAUAGAUGCUAACUCACUUUGUAUUGUUGCCCUAUUGGUACUGUAGGCUGCUUUACAUCCUGCUCCUGUUUUUAAAAAUACAGUAUUACAAUUAAUUCUUUAGCUGAAUGUUGUGGUAGCUGGACUUGAUUAUAUUCAAUACUUUAAACAAGGGGCACUUACCCCCAGCAGAGAGUGAUACAGAGGGAUGGGAGCCGACUCUUGGGGAUGCUACUGCAAAUUGUGCAAAUGAUAAUUAACAAAAUGUAAAUGUGUACAGUUCAUGAAAAUUAACUUUGCACAUACAUUUUUUAGCUUUACAAACGACCCUUUUGGGGCCAAAUUUGGGGGGCUUUGGUGGUGGUGGGAGCUGAUUAUAGUCACCAUCAUCAGACUCCUCAGAAUCUGUCUGGUCAAAUUUAGGAUUUUGCCUGGGAAUGAUAGCAAGCAUGAAGUCAUUAGAGGCUAGUGUAUGUUUAGGUUCCAUUUAUCUCAAACACUAAAUCUUACUUUCUCUUCCUCUGAUGCGACUCUGGCUCUGUUUCAGUGCUGGAGCCCUUUUCAGCCUGAAUCAGACAUUCAUGGGCCUUGUCAUAUGUAUCUGAAAACAUCACAAAAACAGUUUUUGUUAAUUAAUUGAUUUAACAAUUAACAAUAACAAUUAAUUGAUUUAUGUUCACAAAUUAUACAUCUAGUAUUUUGAUAUUCAUUAAAACCCUCACCUUUCGUCUUUAGUAAAUCAAAUGGGUGUAUCUCCCAUGUGUCUCUGUUUGGUUUUUCAUGCUGCAUCACUGCCCUCUUGAUCCUCUCUUGGAUCUUAUAUGGAGGCCAGUAGCAUCCCUCCUUGGUGCACCGGGUUUCAGAGAUGACAGCUAAACUGUCCUCUUCAUUUGGGAAACUGACUACAGCAAACAUUGAACUGUGAACAAAAAGGUGAAAUUGGUCACUCAGUUUUCACAAAAUAUUUCACAAACUCAAUUUCAACGUAUCUUAUAACAUACAAACCUUUUUACAGAUAAUUGUAGGAGUUAAACUCUUAUUUUUUUUUUUUUUUUUUUAUUUAUUUUACAGGUGCCUCACAUCCUACAAAUGGAGUAAUGGCAUGCCAGCAAAGUCCUCUUUGCAUGAAAGCAGCACAAACGUCCGUAGCACAUUUGUGGCUUGGGUAAAAAGAAGUUCAUCCUUCAAUCCAGAGAGCAAGAAAAUGUCUAGCUGUGAUGAUGGUUUUGCACUACAACAACAUCGUUGUUUUUCAGCUGGACACAGUUAUUCCCAGUGCACAUCUGCACAGAGAAUUGAGCGAACUGCAUUUUUGCAUACUGCUCUUUCACAUUUAGACCAUUUGGGACUGGGCCGUUGUCAUGUGGUCUUUGUAGUGUCUUCUCUGCAUCUGACUGCAUUGUUCGCAUGGCCUCUUUUUCUGACAGUCUUCGUAUGACUUGUGCUAAAGGCUGCUGCAAUGGUCCACAAACAAAACCAGGAGGUUUCAGCAUAGUCUGCACACAAGGAUGGACUUAGAAAGAUGGUCAUAGCAACUGAAAGCAGCAUGAAGUUUUCAUACAUCGCCUUUGGAAUAUUUCCUUUCAAACAGACUGGAGGAAUGUACGAAAUUCAGUAGCCUUCCAGCGGUCUGACUCGAUAAGAGAUCUCGGUUUUCUGUUCAUUUCUGAUGGAGCAUGAGGUCGUAGCUCUGUGAGUUGUGAAGAAACAUUUCUGACAAACGCUGGACCUAAACGAGUCUUCAGUGGCCCUUUCUGCCAUAGAGAGAUGAGUUUACGUGUAACCCCCAAACAUACAAGGUGCAUGUAGUCAAGAGGAAAUAAUGUCACCAAACCAAUGGACAGUGAUUCUAAAGGUGUUUUUCCACUGUAGUGCGAGUCCUCAGAAAGAGAAUCAAAAUGGUCAUGGUUGGACCUCAGACAGGCUGUUGUUUCUGGAAAGAUCAUGUGGUUAUUGUAGUAACCCCCCUUUUGACAGCAUUUGUCACAUCCAUAGUGACCCUUAGAAUUUCUAAUGAAGGCACUUGCAGGUACGUCACAGACAAUGGCAGAGAUCUGGACCCUACUAUUUCUGUCUUCAAAAAAGAAACCUUCUUUUUCAAGAUGCUGCAUUUCCUCAACAAAAGUCUUGUAGGAAAUCAAGACUGGCUGGUUUUUUCUCCCCAAAAAACAUCCCAGUGACAAAUGGCAUCUUGUUUGUCUGGACCCCAUCAUUGUAGUUUUCUAUUGGGCCUAAAAUAGGCCAGAAUUGAGAGUUUGAGCUCUUGUAUAGAGGAAGGCCAUCUAUAUUGACUUGCAGGGACACUGACUGACACAUUGGAUGAACUGAUGUUGUGAGGUGAGACAACAGACUGUUCAAUGCCAGCAUGAAAAUAAGUCCCCCCAGAGACUUCUUUCAUUUCCACCACUGAUUUUGUUUUCAGCAAAGUCCGUGAAUCUUUAGGAAGGCCUAAUUCAGGUAAUUUGUUGCACAAAAUCUUGAGUAGUUCAGUCAGUGAUGAAUGUGGAGUUUGUUUCCUGACAGCCCAAUCAGAAAGUAAUGCUCUGGUAUCAUCCUCCUCAUCUGUGCUUUCAUCAAAGCUCUCACUAGCUCCUCCCUCACUGCUGUUAGUGUCCAAUCAUCCACUGACUCCACUCUAUUGUUGGUGUUUUAAGAGCCACUUGCUCAAAAUUGCUUAUGUUAUGGCAGUCAAGUCUCUCCUCAGUCAUUUCAUCUGUUUCUACAGAUGCUGACUGCAGUUUUUGCAAAUCUUGCUCAACUCCUCUUUGAAUUUUUCUGCGUUUACUCCAGUAACUGGACAUGUUACCUGGAGAUAAAACACUUCUGAAUAUAUCUGUAAAGGAAAUCAAACGAUAACAUCAACGCUGGGAUGUUGACGAUCAUGUUAUCACUAAUAAUUGCUUUAGAAUGUUCACAUUAUUGCUGUAAAAAAUUCAAUUGUAAAUAUUUGCAAAGGUGUCCACUGAUGUGUUCACAGGCACAGCCAUUUAAAAUGUAUACACCCAUAGUAGUGGCAAAAUAAAUUAUUGCUAAAUUUGUUUGAU